GUGGGUUUAUAAUGGGUGUUGAUACGCAUGACUGAUAAUUAACUGUGAGAUAUUACUAAAAUAUCUUUUAGUACAGAUCAGCUACACUUCACAUGUAUAGAUGACUUGCCGCUAACUGUAUAAUGUUAUUCUCUCUCGGUCUAGUCUUUGUUGAUCGACAGAGAGGGUUUAACUGAGAUGUAACUAAAAUAUCUCUAUCACAAUACAAGAUCAUGUUAGACAGAGUAAAAGGAUAAACCAGUCAUUAGUUGAAUAUGGUAGAAGAGGCAAGGAUUAGCCGUGUUUUCGUAUCUUACAUUAACAGGUUAUUAUUGACUAGCCCGUCUUAUCACGAGACACUGAAAAACUAAAUGGCGUUUUUUAAAAGAAGAAGACAAGUGGACAAAUAGCAUCUACAACAGAAUGAAAUUGUGUAUUCUAUUGUUUCUAGGUAGUAUAAUGUAUUGUACUGGAUUAGAAUGUUGGAAGUGUAUUGGUGAAUGGUGUCGAGAUAAUCCUGUUGGAGAUUAUAGAGUUAGUAAAACAUCCUGUCAACCUAGUGAAUCAUGUAUGAAAGUAUAUUACAGAAUGCAUGACAA